AUGUCAUUUUCCAUCGCUUUGUGUUUUGUUCGCAUCAUUCGCCUUGAACAUAAAAGUGGGUUCGGGAAAGCUGGAGAUUUACAUUGGUGUCCAAUCUAAUUGAACACAGACGUUGGAUGAAAUGCUGGACUUAUCGGUGCUGCGAUAAAAUGCCCCGCGGCCGUUGUGAAACCAGUCAAACACUAAAGACCAGACAGCAGCUAUAAACAAUGUAUGCAGCAGGAGUUCCAUCAGGAACUGGUGAAGUAGCGGUGCAUCUGGUGGUGCCAAUUGUCCAGAGCGUGUUGCUUAGUUGAUUUCAGUUAGAAUUUUGGAACUCCCCAUGUAGUAUGAUGUGAAAUUUAUAGUGAGUAAAACCGUUUGUUCCGGUAUUUCGCGGUUUACCGUUUUGCGGUUAGUACCAUUUCGCGGUCUAUACUGUUUCGCGGUAUGGUUUUUCCUGCAAGUUGCACUGAAAAUUGUUGGCAGUACCAUUAAUAACAUUUUCAUCGGUGAUCUACCCUUCUUUUAAGCACAGGCUUUCUUCCAAAUUGCACUGUUAAGAUAGAUGAAACAUCUCAGUAUAAACCGCGAAAUUGUACUGACCGUGAAGUGACAUGCCGCCCAAUGGUACUAACCACCAAAUGUCGUACCGCGAAGUUGAUAUACCGCAAAAUGUUAUACAAUCGAGCUAGCCAGGGCUGAAAAACUCGUCAAUAAA